CUCUCUCUUCCUCCCGAUUUUUCUUCUCUUCCCACCCGAGUUUUUUCUCUCUACACCCAGCAGACUUCCGGCCGUCCUCCCGCCGCCGUCCGGCCACCAGCUGCCGCCGCUCCAGCCCAGAUCGGACCCCCGUCACCUCCUCUCCCUCCCCGGCCUAGCCCCCGAGCCUCUAACCCGCCGGAGAGGAGAAAAAGCCGCCGGAACCGCCGACUGUGUCUUCGCCGGAGCUCCGUCCUCCGGCCACCAUAGGUCGUGAUUUUUGGCUCAACUUGUAGCCCUCAUCUAGGUGAGUAAUCCCUCAAAAGGUUUCGGCUUAAUUCGAUUUCGUUAGGGUGGUUUGUAUAAUUGAAAGUUUUAGGGAUUUAUGGUUGUUUGUGUUCGAUUGACAUGGUUAGGCUUAGAAUUAGAGUUUGUGUUGGUCAUGAAAGUUGUAGAGGAGAUUGAGAGGAAGAUUCUGUUAAAAUUUGGUGGCAUUUGCAGGUUGCCGGAGUUGGUCGCCGGCCGCCGCUGCCGGCGGAGCCGCCGGCGGCGCCGCCGCUGUUUUGGGAAAUUUUAUGGUUUUUGAUGUAGAAUAUUAAGGGGAUAUUAUUGAAGUGAAUUAUGGAAUUUUUGGAUGAGAUUUGGAUAGGUUUGUGAAUUUCCGAAGUUUGGUAUUUUUGGCGGUUAAUUAAUGUAGAAUCCGGCCGUUGGAUUUAAGUCGUAUUUUGGAGAGGUUGUAUUUACGACUGUUGAGUAUGAUAUUUAAGUUCGGAUUGUUCUGAUGUAAGAAUAUCGAAGUUAGGCAAUGAUGAGCGUAAUUAUGGCUCUCGGGUAAUUUUGCCUAUUUUGAUUAAAUAUUGGAUAUUGGUUGGGAAAUUAAUAUUAUAUUUGGAACAGGACGUGAAGAGGCUCGAGCAGACGAGACCCCAGAUUGACAUCAGGCUUAGGCCUAAUUCGUGAGUGGACGUUUAUUUUAAAUAAAUGCAUGCUAUAGUUCAUGGUUGAACAAUUAAUAUUGCGGAAUAUUUUAACGUCAUUUUAAUUUGACGAUUUUUAUUUUCUCUUGGAGAGUUACCGAAAAUGGGAUUUUCGGUGGAUAUAAAUAUGUAUUUAUGAGAGAGUAUGUAUAUAAAUGCUAGCUAGCCAUAUGUGUCUGUCCACCUUAAUGGCGUAGCAUAUAGCCGCAUUAUAGUGUGACGUGAGCGUUGGACGUAAGCGUAGUAGCCCUAUUUGAGUGUUUAAUUCAUAUAGGGGGUAUGG
rnacentral:lncRNA from 1 species